GGUUCGAUGGUGUAGUUGGUUAUCACUUCUGUCUAACACAGUGCCUCGGCACAAGUGGUAUCACAGGCGGUCUCCGGUUCGAGCCCGGAUCGAAUCA
rnacentral:tRNA from 1 species